GGAAGUGCAAAAUCGAAUGUGAGCAGGGCCAUGUGGGCUCUGAAAGCUCUAGGGGAACCUUCCCUUCAUCCUCCUGGGGUUCCGUGGCCUGCAGCUGCCCAGCCCACCUCUCUGUCUCUGCGGUCACACAGGCACCUCCUUGGGUGUCUCUGCUGUCACAUGGCCAUCUCCUCUCAGGAAUACGGUCCUGUUGGAGUAGGGUCCAGCCUCUCCACCAGGACCUCGCUAAUCACGUCUGCAGUGACUCUACUUCCAAAAAAGGCCACAUUCACAGGGUCGGGGGACUCUAGGCACUGUGCCUAGAGCACCUGAUGGACGACUCAGCCCUGAUCCCCAGUACAUAGCACAUAGUACAUAGUGCUGGACACAUGAAAAUCUGAUGGAUGAAUAAAUGGCUGAAGAGUGGUGCCAGAGCUUUGUUUUCAACACUCAUGGAAGACAAUUCACACAGUGAGAAGUAAAUCAGAUGCUAGAGCUCGGGCUUCUAGCAAAGGUGAGCAGAGACUUCCCUGUCCUCUCAAGGAGAGAAAGCUUGGGGGAUCCCCUCCCACUGUGAGCUUCUGGAGAGUGAGGAUCUUGUCUUUGAUUCACCAAAAUGCCAGAUCUUUCAUAAGAGUAAAAACCUAGGAGGAGAAGAUGCCAGUGUACAUGUGUUCGAGGGUCUCACAAUGAGAAGAGUGGCCAGGUCUUCUGUCUUCUCACUGAGAAAAAGGCAAGUGAACUAAUUGUAGUUCAAAUGGCAGAAACAAUAGAAUUCUACAUGGUGGAUGUCAGGCUUCCUUUUCUGAGGAUCCUUAAAGCAGAUCCAAGCCCCUACUGAGAAGAGUGUUCUACAGGGCCAUUGGGGUCAUAGGAUCCCACCUUCCUUCGCCAGAGCUGAUUGGACACAGAAAUCAUUCCUGACUCACAGGUGACCAGUUGGUUGUCUGCUUCAUGAACAAUCAGAUGUUUCUCUAAGAGUGUGAACUUAGAGAAAUAGAACUAUGAUCAGAGGGCAUUAGUCCUUAAAUUCUAAGUUCCUGGGUAGUUGAGCAUGGGGUGACCUUUUUUUUUGUCCUUUGGACACCGAUGACUAGCUGCAUAGAGAGGCAGAAGAGUGGACACACUGAAAGAAAAAGAGAGAUCCCAGGGCACUCAAAGACACAAAAGACAGAUGGGGAAGCAUCCUUGGUCUCCCAUUGGUUUCCCAGCCCUGCCACCAUGCGCAUGAGGUUCCCUGCACCUCUUGUCUGCUGGGAUGCUUCUGGGCCUCUCAACGGCCCCAUCUUCAAGAGCCAUCUUGAUUAGGUUUCUGCCCCCCAUGGAGCCCUGGGGAAACCAACUCUGGCAGGUGUCUGCCGUUCUCAGCAAGUGAAUGUGGCCUCUCUGAUGAAGAUUUGGUCUCCACAGAUGUCUCCUCAAGUAUCUUUUUUCCACCUUGCUCUGGAGAGUUUCAAACAUUUAUAUAUAUAAGAGAAUGCCUGGACUCUUUAUAUAUAAAACAAAGCAGCCAGAAUAAAGAACCUCAUGUGCCCAUCACCAGGCUUCAGAGGUUUUCAAUUCCCGCCCCACUGUGCUUCGGGUACACACCCACGCCUCCCCACUCCUGCAUUAUCUGGAGCAAAUCCCAGACGGAUCAUUGUAUCUGCAAAUAUGCCAUUGUGUAUCUCUAAAAGAUAAAGCUUCUUUUUAAGAAAACAUAAUCAAAGUCCUUUCUUGAUCUAACUAACAUUAAUUUCUUCUGAUAAUUACUGGUUUUCUUUUGUGCCAGAUACUUUGAUAAAAGCAUUUGCAUGUUAUCUCUAUUAUAGGAAAAGAGAGUACCUACCAGCCCUGGUAAAGGACAGUUGCCAGAAUUUUCUCAGUUAAACAUUUCAGGCAGGUGAAGAAAUACACAUAAGUUUAACAAUAAUAAGGAACAACAGGUCAACAACAAAGCAACCUUCUCCUGAGCGAAGAGCACUUUCCAAGACUCACUGAAAUCCCAGGCAACGUCGUUCUCGAUUCAGGGCGCUGAUGAACAUCCCACUAGCUGGUGUGAUCCACCCACCUGGAGAAGCCCUGGGCCGGAAGGAGAGCUCUGUGCCUGGAGGGCUGCCUUCUACCAAGAGGACAGAUGGAUCAUCUGCCUGCUUUCUGGGUGUACAGGAUCUUGCCUGCGGAGGUUCCUCCAAUCUGCCAAAUGCACACACACACACACACACACACACACACAAACGUGUACGAUGAAAGAAGUGAGUUCUCAGGAAGAAGCAGCUCAGAUAACAAAAAUGUGUCUUUUCCAACAUGAAACAAAAUGAAAACACAUAGCCACUGAAGACUGACUGGAAACUAAUGCAGUUGAGCAGUGGUUGUCAAACUGUGUUCCUGGGAACCAAGGACGUUUGAGAGAUGGCACAGGAGUCCUGUCAAUGUAACAGACACACGGGACUGUGUACUGCUUGCUGGCUUCCAGAGCCCCCUGCCUCCUGGUCCCAGGGGAGGAGAGGCAAUACUUGAGAAGAAAGCCUCCAGCUUUGAAUGGCUCGAGGGUUGUGGAAGGAGAAGUAUCUAUGAGAGCCUUAUCUCUUUCAAAUCCUUUGGCCAACCCACCUCAAGCAACCUCUUCUCUCCCACUUUGCGGGGGGUACUCCUCAGAUUAAUGCAGGAAUGAGACAGACCCUGGAGCUCCUGGAGAACAAGCCCUUCUCCCCACGUGCCACCUGCAGCCGGUUCUAACCAGAGAAAGUACAUCUUUAAUCUCCUGAGCUGUGGGAAAAUCGACACACUUGGUUAGGCUCCUGAUGCUAACACCCCAGUACAAAUAAGGACAAGAGAAACCUUCUGCUUUCAUUACAAGGGAUUUGUACAAAUUCAUACGUGGAAUUGACUUACAGCUUCUAAUUUAUAUUUAAAUCCCGAAUGUCUUAGUCAGAAGAAACUGCUCUAUAUCCAUUGUCUGUGUCUGCACCAUUGAUUCGUGCUUCAAAUAGACCCCACGGGCCCAGUUGUAAUUCCCAUCGGCACAUCCACAUAUUUCUUCCCAGAGGUGGCUUAUGGAGUUUCUGAGAACAUCGGAGUUCCCCGGGGCGAAGAGAUGGAUGGGAAUCAUACCCUUGGGAAUCACAUCCGAUGAGAGAAGGACGAUGAAGAAAAUCAUUCUCUACCCUUUCCUGGCUCUGAUACCAGGAUGGAGGGACGACAGAAGUCUGUAUGGGGACAAGGGUGCCUGAUUGCAUUCUCUCACAUUGGUAAGGACAAACGAGGAAAGUUUCUUAUGUUUCACACCAUGGGAAGCUCUAUCAUCUGUUGGCUGUGUCACUUUGGAUAAGAAACCACCUCUCUGUGUCUGGACUUUCUCAUCCACAAAAUGAAAAUAAUAAGAGUAUGUACUCUCAUGGGAUUAUUACGAUGAUUAAGUGAGAAUAUAAAUGUUUAGAUGCACGCCUGAUGCAUAGCAAUAUUUGCCCAUUGUUACGAGAAACACAGACAAAAUGAACAAAGGAAAUGAAGUUUGUUGCCAUGAACAUCAUCAUAAGGAACAUGACCAAAGAAAUUAACUUGGCUCUUUUGGGAGUUUUUUGGUUACGGUAGUGUGG